AACGAACGCUGGCGGCAUGCCUAACACAUGCAAGUCGAACGAGACCUCCGGGUCUUGUGGCGCACGGGUGCGUAACGCGUGGGAACCUGCCCUUAGGUUCGGAAUACCUCCCCGAAAGGGGUGCUAAUACCGGAUAAGGUCUUAGCACCAAAGAUUUAUCGCGUUUGGUUGGGCCCGCGUUGGAUUAGCUUGUUGGUAGGGUAAUAGCCUACCAAGGCGAGGAUGCUUAGCUGGUCUGAGAGGAUGAUCCGCCACACUGGGGCUGAGACACGGCCCAGACUCCUACGGAAGGGAGCAGUGGGGAACAUAGGACAAUGGGGGAAAGCCUGACCCAGCAAUGCCGGGUGAGUGAUGAAGGCCGUAGGGUUGUAAAGCUCUUUUACCCGGGAUGAUAAUGACGGUACCGGGAGAAUAAGCACCGGCUAACUACGUG
rnacentral:rRNA from 1 species